GGGUGGAUCUGGCUAUUUCAUCUGUCACCCCAUUAAUUGCAGGGUGGAUCUGGCUAAUCUGGCUGGCCUAGGCAGGUGUCCCCCUUCCUCCCUCACUGCUCCAUGUGUGUCCCUCUGGAAGCUGAGCACUCUGUUGAAGACGAUGACUAUCCCUGAUAGAGGAGGACCGGUCUUUGGUCAAGGGUAUAUGAGUAGCUGUUCUCCCUCAAAAUCUCCGAACAAAUUCUCAAAAUUAGUGCAAAGUCUGAUGUCAACUCUUCUGG
rnacentral:snRNA from 1 species